GAACGAACGUUAGCGGCGCGCUUAACACAUGCAAGUCGAGCGAGAAGGGGGCAACCCCAGUAAAGCGGCGCACGGGUGAGUAACACGUAGGUAAUCUACCUCGAGGUGGUGGAUAACCUUCCGAAAGGAGGGCUAAUACAGCAUGAGACCACGUUCUCGAAAGAGGAUGAGGUAAAAGCGGGCCUCUAUACAUAAGCUCGCGCCACGAGAUGAGCCUGCGGCCCAUCAUGGUAGUUGGUAGGGUAAUGGCCUACCAAGCCGAAGACGGGUAGCUGGUCUGAGAGGAUGAUCAGCCACACUGGAACUGAGACACGGUCCAGACUCCUACGGGAGGCAGCAGUGGGGAAUCUUGCGCAAUGGGCGAAAGCCUGACGCAGCGACGCCGCGUGAGGGAAGAAGUUCUGACGGUACCUCACGAAUAAGACACGGCUAACUACGUG
rnacentral:rRNA from 1 species